rnacentral:lncRNA from 1 species
CCGAGCUGCAUCGAGGCAAUGUUAGGCUUGCCAUCUGUUUUGAUGAUUCAUAUAUUUCAGUUGUCUGAAGAACUAAAUUGUCCGGUGGAACCAUUCUGAAAGAGCAUCUGAAUUGAAGCACAAAGACCAGACUGGAACGUGGUUGUCCAGUCGUGAUGUUUCAACUAACUGUCUGACACACCAUAUGAUAAUUAAGAUCUUUAGAGCUUUCUGUAAGAAGUGCUUUUCUUC